rnacentral:rRNA from 1 species
CCUACGGGUGGCUGCAGUGAGGAAUAUUGGUCAAUGGGCUUACGCCUGAACCAGCCAAGUCGCGUGAGGGAAGACUGCCCUAUGGGUUGUAAACCUCUUUUGUAAGGGAGCAACGCCGGCUACGUGUAGCCGGACUGAGAGUACCUGACGAGAAAGCAUCCGCUAACUCCGUGCCAGCAGCCGCGGUAAUCCGGAGGAUGCGAGCGUAAUCCGGAUUUAGUGGGUUUAAAGGGUGCGUAGGCGGAAUGCCAAGUCAGCGGUAAAACCGCGGGGCUCAACCUCGCUCCGGCGUUGAAACUGGCGAUCGUGAGGGGGAGAGAAGUAGGCGGAAUGCGGGGUGUAGGGGGGAAAUGCAGAG